rnacentral:rRNA from 1 species
UGGGGAAUAUUGCACAAUGGGCGAAAGCCUGAUGCAGCAACGCCGCGUGAGUGAUGAAGGCCUUCGGGUUGAAAGCUCUGUCUUUUGGGACGAUAAUGACGGUACCAAAGGAGGAAGCCACGGCUAACUACGUGCCAGCAGCCGCGGUAAUACGUAGGUGGCAAGCGUUGUCCGGAUUUACUGGGCGUAAAAGGGAUGCGUAGGCGGAUUUUUAAGUGAGAUGUGAAAUACCCGGGCUUAACUUGGGUGCUGCAUUUCAAACUGGGAAUCUAGAGUGCGGGAGAGGAGAAUGGAAUUCCUAGUGUAGCGGUGAAAUGCGUAGAGAUUAGGAAGACACCAGUGGCGAAGGCGAUUCUCUGGACCGUAACUGACGCUGAGGCAUGAAAGCGUGGGUA